rnacentral:lncRNA from 1 species
AAAUGAGUAUUUUAGUAAUUAAUGCUAUGGUUUUUUUUAUCAGUGCUUUGACCUUCUCAACUUUCUGAAUUUUAGGUUAGAGUUUUACGUGUGAGUGUGAGAAAGCUUAGAAGAAAGGGUAGAAGAGAAGAUAGACAGAGUUUAACAGUUUGAUUAUUGUAGCAUAAGAGAGAUUAAUGUGAGAGUGGGGAAGAAAAUAAGAGGAAAAGGAUGAUAGAAAGGCACAUGGUGGAGUGCAGAUGAUGAUGGUUUUGCCAUGAAUGUUUUUCGAACACACGCAGGGAGAGAAAGAGAGAUAUGCGUGGACAGUAUUACUUGAUAAUCAAGGAAAAUGAGGAAACGUACUUGAUGGACCACCACCUUCUCUUCUAAUUAAUUACUUCAAC